rfam:Lepisosteus oculatus unplaced genomic scaffold TNK2, whole genome shotgun sequence.
UUGCAAUAGUAAUCCUGCUUAGUAUGAGAGAAACCACAGGUUCAGACAUUUGGUGUCUGUGCUUGGCUGAGGAGCCAAUGGUGUGUAGCGACCAUCUGUGGGAUUAUGACUGAACACCUCUAAGUCAGAAUCCACCCUAAAAGGUGG